CCUACGGGUGGCUGCAGUGGGGAAUAUUGCACAAUGGGCGCAAGCCUGAUGCAGCCAUGCCGCGUGUGUGAAGAAGGCCUUCGGGUUGUACAGCACUUUCAGCGGGGAGGAAGGCGGUGAGGUUAAUAACCUCAUCGAUUGACGUUACCCGCAGAAGAAGCACCGGCUAACUCCGUGCCAGCAGCCGCGGUAAUACGGAGGGUGCAAGCGUUAAUCGGAAUUACUGGGCGUAAAGCGCACGCAGGCGGUCUGUCAAGUCGGAUGUGAAAUCCCCGGGCUCAACCUGGGAACUGCAUUCGAAACUGGCAGGCUAGAGUCUUGUAGAGGGGGGUAGAAUUCCAGGUGUAGCGGUGAAAUGCGUAGAGAUCUGGAGGAAUACCGGUGGCGAAGGCGGCCCCCUGGACAAAGACUGACGCUCAGGUGCGAAAGCGUGGGGAGCAGACAGGAUUAGAUACCCGGGUAGUC
rnacentral:rRNA from 1 species